CGGCUCAGUAACACGUCGAUAAUCUGCCCUUAGGUCACGAAUACCCUCGGGAAACUGAGGCUAACACGUGGUAGAGGAAUUCUACUGGAAUGUGUUUUCCUUAAAAGGUGACGCCUAAGGAUGAGUUGGCGGCGGAUUAGCUUGUUGGUGGGGUAAUGGCCCACCAAGGCAUUGAUCCGUAGGGGCCUUGGAAGAGGUAGCCCCGAGAAGGACACUGAGAUACUGGUCCUAGCCCCACGGGGUGCAGCAGGCGCGAAAACUUUACACUACACGAAAGUGUGAUAAGGGGAUUCCAAGUGGUUAUACACAUGUAUAAUCUUUUUUCGAGAGCAAAAUUCUCGAAGAAUAAGUGGUGGGUAAGACCGGUGCCAGCAGCCGCGGUAAUCCCGGCGCCACAAGUAGGGAGCAGGGUUAUUGGGCCUAAAGCGUUCGUAGCAGGUCUUGUAAAUCUCUUGUGGGAUCGUUGGGCUUAACCUAACGGCGUGCAGGAGAGACUGCUAGACUUGAGAUCGGGAGGGGUAGAGAGUAUUCCUUGGGGAGCGGUAAAAUGCUAUAAUCCUUGGAAGACUACCUGUGGCGAANGCGCUCUACCAGAACGAGUCUGACUGUGA
rnacentral:rRNA from 1 species